UAAACAACUAAAAUAUUUUUUUCAGGGAAAGAUUACAAUACAAAAAAAAUUAGUUUGUAAUGCAUGCGGAUAAAAGAAGAGAUGAAAAAUAAUACCUUAAUAAUGCAUAUUUGAUCUUGUCGGUUGUUGAGUAACUGCUUUGAGAGGGCGCGCAAUUUUUUUUGUUUUCAGAGGGUCCAGGAUUUUUUUAUGUAUUUUUGCUUUUUAAUCAAUAUUAGUUACAGUACCUUGCAAGAAGCCUAAGUUUUUUUCGGAGAGCCUAGUACGACGGGAUUUUCAAAAAAAUUUGAAACUGGUAUUUUUCUAAUUUGAUACGCAGAAGUAAUUGACUUAUGUCUUUUUUUAGACUCGACUUACUUCUUUUUUUAGGCAACAACUUACUUCCUAUAUUUUUUUUUGAGAACCACGACUUUACUUCCUAUUUUCUUUUGAGGGGUGACUUUACUUCCUAUAUGAAACAGUCAACUUUGCCUUGCCCAUGUACGGGUGGUUGAGGCACAGCAGUCGUGAUUCAGGGGGUGUUUGGUUCAGGGAUUUUUUAGUCCCAGAGACUAGAAAAAGUCCCUAGGAACCAAACGGGAGGGACUUUUUCUACAGGGACUAGAAAAAACUCUAUUAGAGAGUCUUUUUUGAUUAGUCUCUGGGACUAGAAAAAGUCCUAGAACUUCUGAACCAAACACCCCCUCAGGCCCAUGUGAGUCAUUUAGUAAACUACCUUUUUCUCAAAGUUCACCUAGAAAAAACAUUUUCUCAAAGUUAAAGCACUGGUGCCUCUUCGUCUCUAUCAUCUCCGUCAAUCCUCUUCUCAAAACAAAAAAUCUCCGUCAAUCCUAGCCUGCUCGUGACCACAUCCACAUACACCAGUGCCUUAAAUAAGGAUCCGCCGAAGGAAGAUUUCACUGCUGGCUUAUGUGAAACUAAUUCCCGACCUAUCCAGGCACUACUUCUUGUCUCUUAUCUUCAUUUUUUGGCGCUGUCCUCAAACCCUAGCUCUACUGAUCUUAGGUUGUGCAUGAAGCUGCGACGAACCGUAUGUGUAGGUCUCAGCUCGUUGGCGCGAGUUCUCGCCUUCCUCAUUUCUGGUGCCGUCGGCCCUCCACCAAUAACGAAGCAGAGGUGCCGAAGCAGAUUUUGAAGAAAUAGUAAGACAGGAUAUGUGUCCGCUGGCUGAGCCCAAUUGUGGGCCUCCUCGUUGUUCAUGAUGUCGGGUUUCCACCUACGUAAUUUGCUACAGCUUCACAUCAUUCCUACUUCCUCCAUAGCGGGUGAUUCUUCGCAUGUAUCUUUUCCCCCUCUAACAAAGCUAAAAGGAUAUAAUGGUUUUAUUUGUUGUUACCAUAUAUUAGCAAGUGAUAUUACUUGUACAUGUAUUUAACGCGAAGCAAUACACAUGUGUUAUUUGACAUAGAAUGGGUUUUCUAUAUGAUGAAUAUAACGUUGGAGCUUUUCUAAUGUUUCUCUCGAGCUGAAAAGACUGUAGGAUAGAAGAUUUGUUAUAUGAAGAACACAAAACUCAUAUUUCAAAUAAAUACUAUAUGGCUUGCUUCUGGCAGUGCUAACUUCAGAGCCUUCAUCAACCUCUUUUGUAUUUUUUUGUGCUCUCCUUGCGGCUGCAGUAAAAGUACAUAUUAUUUUGCCACAACGACAAUUGACUCUUAAUCUUAAAGCGGGGGGAAACCCUUUACCGUCUCUUCAAGCAUCGUAGUUUUUACUUUUGCUUCAACAUUUUUCUUGUUCCCAACGUUACAAUUUUCUCCUUUCUUUUUGGCACGCUUAUCUCGGCUCAUUCAUCCUCAGAGCCAUUCAAUAAUACAGUAGAUCUCUAUAUUUUUCUUUUUUUCAUUGCAGAGUCCAUGUGAUUCCAACAUUUUUUCUUCACACCUAUCAUCAUUUAAUAUAGCCUCAUUAGUAUUGUGGGGCUCUUCUUCCGUAGGCACCAGUUGACAUCUUUUUCUGAGGUGAAGCUCUAUUGUUAUUUGUCAGCGAAAUAAAAGUACAUUUCAAAGAUUAGGCCCAUCUCUAAAAAUUGAGAAGUAUGUACGCUGAGAAAAUCAGUCACCCUUUUAUCCUCCAUGUUAUACUUCUUCGUUGAUUUUUUUUAACACGGCGUCCACCUUAUCAUCCAUCAAAAUGUACGCAUAAUAUCUGAUGUGUUAGUUAGGAAAUUACAAAAA